rnacentral:rRNA from 1 species
UACGGGGGGAGCAAGCGUUGUUCGGAUUUACUGGGCGUAAAGGGCGCGUAGGCGGCCACCGCAAGUCGACUGUGAAAUCCCCGGGCUCAACCCGGGAACUGCGUCCGAUACUGGAAGGCUUGAAUCCGGGAGAGGGAUGUGGAAUUCCAGGUGUAGCGGUGAAAUGCGUAGAUAUCUGGAGGAACACCGGUGGCGAAGGCGACAUCCUGGACCGGUAUUGACGCUGAGGCGCGAAAGCCAGGGGAGCAAACGGG